rnacentral:rRNA from 1 species
AGAAUCAACGCUGGCGGCGUGCCUAACACAUGCAAGUCGCACGAGAAAGGGUAGCAAUACCUGAGUACAGUGGCGCACGGGUGAGUAACACGUGAAUAAUCUACCUCCGAGUGGGGAAUAACUGAGAGAAAUCUUAGCUAAUACCGCAUAACACUUACGAGUCAAAGCAGCAAUGCGCUUGGAGAGGAGUUCGCGGCAGAUUAGUUAGUUGGCGGGGUAAUGGCCACCAAGACGAUGAUCUGUA